UACGGGGGUGGCAAGCGUUGUCCGGAAUUACUAGGCGUAAAGGGCAGGUAGGCGGUAAUAUAAGUUAAUUGUUAAAGGCCCAUGCUCACCAUGGGUAAGGCAGUUGAUACUGUAUAACUGGAAGACGGUGGGGGAAGACGGAAUUCCUGGUGUAGCGGUGGAAUGCGCAGAUAUCAGGAGGAACACCGAAGGCGAAGGCAGUCUUCUACGCCGGUUUUGACGCUAAACUGCGAAGGUGCGGGUAUCAAACAGGAUUAGAUACCCUGGUAGUCCGCACAGUAGACGAUAAUCACUAGGUGUUGGUGGGAUAGACCUGUCGGUGCCGUAGCUAACGCGAUAAGUGAUUCGCCUGGGGAGUACGAUCGCAAGGUUGAA
rnacentral:rRNA from 1 species